GUGGCUGGGCACAACAGGGGACAGGAAUGGAUUUGAAAGCCAUGACAACAAAGGUUCUAAGGACGUGUAAAACUCUUGUCGGCAGCACAGGCUCACCUGGAAGAGAAAACUGUUAAAGGAGAUAUGUGCCUUCCUGCUACUCGCCAACAUACUUCUCUGGAUCAUUCCGGCGUUUGGUGCUCGUCCCCAGUUUGACCACACGUUUAGGACUGAGUUCUACAGUUUCACCCUCUGGGCUUCUGUUGUGAAUAUUGGACUCCCAUUUGGAAUAUUUUACAGAAUGCACUCAGUUGCCUGUCUCUUUGAGGUCUUCUUGAACUCAUAAGCUUCUUGAACAAGAACAUUAUAUUUGAACAUUUUACAAUACAUGUCCUGUUAAUUUUAUUUGUACAAUACUUGAAUAAAAUAUCUAAAAU